AGGAUCAUUAAAAUGUAAUUGACACACUUUUUACUAGCACACACACACAACACGUUUCAAGCAACCAAAUCAAAACUUUCAACAACGGAUCUCUUGGUUCUCGCAUCGAUGAAGAACGCAGCGAAAUGCGAUACGUAGUAUGACUUGCAGUUUUCGGGAAUCAUCGAAUCUUUGAACGCACAUUGCACCGUGCGGCAUUCCGCACGGUAUGCCUGAUUGAGCGUCGUUUCACCCUCAGCAAUGGUGAUGGGUCCACUGCGUGGACCUGAAAGACGGCACUAGCGUUCUACGGCUCGCUAGAGACACAACCUUUCGACCUCAGUCAGGUAGGGGUACCCGCUGAACUUAAGCAUAUCAAU
rnacentral:misc_RNA from 1 species